rnacentral:tRNA from 1 species
GUAGAGUGGACUAAUGGUAAGUCACCAGACUCAUUCAUCUGGGGUAUGCAGGUUCAAUUACCUGCCUCUACAAC